GACGAACGCUGGCGGCGUGCCUAAUACAUGCAAGUAGAACGCUGAAGGAGGAGCUUGCUUCUCUGGAUGAGUUGCGAACGGGUGAGUAACGCGUAGGUAACCUGCCUGGUAGCGGGGGAUAACUAUUGGAAACGAUAGCUAAUACCGCAUAAUAGUAGAUGUCGCAUGACAUUUGCUUAAAAGGUGCAAUUGCAUCACUACCAGAUGGACCUGCGUUGUAUUAGCUAGUUGGUGAGGUAACGGCUCACCAAGGCGACGAUACAUAGCCGACCUGAGAGGGUGAUCGGCCACACUGGGACUGAGACACGGCCCAGACUCCUACGGGAGGCAGCAGUAGGGAAUCUUCGGCAAUGGACGGAAGUCUGACCGAGCAACGCCGCGUGAGUGAAGAAGGUUUUCGGAUCGUAAAGCUCUGUUGUAAGAGAAGAACGAGUGUGAGAGUGGAAAGUUCACACCGUGACGGUAUCUACCAGA
rnacentral:rRNA from 1 species